CCUACGGGGGGCUGCAGUGGGGAAUAUUGGACAAUGGGCGAAAGCCUGAUCCAGCCAUGCCGCGUGUGUGAAGAAGGCCUUCGGGUUGUAAAGCACUUUCAGUGGGGAAGAAAGCCUUGGGGCUAAUACCCUCGAGGAAGGACAUCACCCACAGAAGAAGCACCGGCUAACUCCGUGCCAGCAGCCGCGGUAAUACGGAGGGUGCGAGCGUUAAUCUGAAUUACUGGGCGUAAAGCGCGCGUAGGCGGUCUGAUAAGCCGGUUGUGAAAGCCCCGGGCUCAACCUGGGAACGGCAUCCGGAACUGUCAGGCUAGAGUGCAGGAGAGGAAGGUAGAAUUCCCGGUGUAGCGGUGAAAUGCGUAGAGAUCGGGAGGAAUACCAGUGGCGAAGGCGGCCUUCUGGACUGACACUGACGCUGAGGUGCGAAAGCGUGGGUAGCAAACAGGAUUAGAUACCCCUGUAGUC
rnacentral:rRNA from 1 species